UUCUGCAUUGCAGGGGAUCCCAACAAGCCCUCGGGAUUCAGAAGUGUUAAAGCUCCCGUCACCAAAGUGGCCGCGUCGAUUGGAAACGCUGCUCAGAAGUUGCCCAUGUGUGACAAAUGUGGCGCUGGCAUUGUAGGCAUGUUUGUGAAGCUGCGGGACCGCCACCGCCACCCCGAGUGCUACGUGUGCUCUGACUGUGGCACCAACCUGAAGCAGAAGGGCCACUUCUUUGUGGAGGAUCAGAUCUACUGUGAAAAGCACGCCCGGGAGCGGGUCACACCCCCGGAGGGCUACGAUGUGGUCACUGUCUUCCCCAAGUGAGGCAGCAGCUUCCCCAACCAGCCUCCUCCUGUCCUCUCGUCCCUCUUGAAGUUGCCCUGCUCACCUUGCUCCUGGGCCGUGCGUGUGGGAGGUCGAGUCCUUCCAGCUGGUGCCCACUGGUGCCCACAUGAUGACUGCUUUUCUGAGUAACGGGAUGUUACUUGUUCCAGGUCCCCUUGCCAGCCUUGCUGGGUCUCUUCCUCACCUCCUCUCUGCUCUGCUGCCAAAGGACAUCAGCUGCAUUUGAAUGAAAUGGAAUUUAAUAUUGAUUAAACUUCAUUUUUACUCAAUAAA